GCCGCUGAUGUCAAGUUCGCCAUAUUGGGCGCUGACUUUCUGCAAUACUUGGGUCUGUUGGUCAACGUCUGCAAG
rnacentral:lncRNA from 1 species